AUGUCGAACGCGAAAAUCCCGCAAGGGAUCAGUAGAGUGGCAAACGGGUGAGUAACACGUGGGUGACCUGCCUUCGAGUGGGGGAUAACGUCCCGAAAGGGACGCUAAUACCGCAUGACAUCCUGUCUUUGGAAAGACGGAGAUCAAAGCUGGGGAUCGCAAGACCUGGCGCUUGAAGAGGGGCCCGCGCCUGAUUAGCUAGUUGGUAGGGUAACGGCCUACCAAGGCGACGAUCAGUAUCCGGCCUGAGAGGGCGGACGGACACACUGGGACUGAGACACGGCCCAGACUCCUACGGGAGGCAGCAGUGGGGAAUUGUUCGCAAUGGGCGAAAGCCUGACGACGCAACGCCGCGUGGAGGACGAAGAUCUUCGGGUCGUAAACUCCUGUCGAGUGGGAAGAACGCUUCGGGAUUGAAUAUUUCCCGGAAUUGACGGUACCACUAAAGGAAGCCCCGGCUAACUCCGUGCCAGCAGCCGCG
rnacentral:rRNA from 1 species